UGCGCCUGUCACUCAUUAUCUGUGUACCCACUUGUCACAUCUCUCCCAGGUUUUUAUUAUGUGAAGAACCUCUUCUGGUCUAGCUCGUUCUCUCUUCUCUCUCACAGCCCGGUAGAUACAACAGAAUGAAAGGUGCAGUGUAUAUCACUUGAUUCGUCAAUCAAAGAUCAAUGGAUCUUCCCUCUCAAAGCUAAUUAAAGUCCUUAACAUCUACAAAUGUACCCUGCAUCCUGUGUCCAAAUUAUUAUUAGUUUAAGAAACUACCUAAGUGAAAAAGAAGAUUUGAAGCAAUUCCUAGGAAAAUAAGAUAUACUGUUAACAGUGUGUGUAAUGAAAUGUUUAUGUGAUAUUUUCCAGUAUUAAUGAACUGUCUGGAUAAAUGCAUUAUUUCUGCUGCAAUUAGAACCUUGGUUUCCAAUUUCAGUGCUAUAUGUGUCACAUGACCUACACAGUUAUGAACACAGGAAAUCUAUGUCUACAAAAGCACUUGUCCUACUUACUUAAUGCUAAUUGCAUAUUCUCCAGACUCUUUGGUCCUGUGCCUUACAAGGUUCAGUGUCAAAGCCAGGACGAGUUCAGCAGAGAGUGUAGGUAAUGACAAGGAAGGCACAAGUGACAGUUGGAAAGCAGCAAGCGGUCUGAGGAGAAUUCCAUGCACUGGAAAGUAAGUGGCCUGGCCACAGACCAAAGCAAUCAGUACAAAGUAGAUUACAGGAAGUUGAUGAAUGGAAACAAGUCAUCCUGAUGUUUGAGGAAGAGAUGAUAGCUUCAUAAGCAACAUUUUCCCACACAAAGUAGGAUCACGUUAAGGUAAACAGUAGCAACCAAUAAUCAUGCCAGAGUAAAAGGUCUAAGUUAUGAUUAUUCUGCAUCUUGGUGAUGGCAAACACAUGUAGAAAGUUCAUCAAGACCACAUAUAUGCCACCCCUCUCUUUACACCUUUGCCUUCUAAUGCUCCAGAGCCAAAAAGGAGCCUGAAGUUGAACGCUCUUCCUGAUACGAUGUCUAUUGAUGUCUACUGGUAUGCUGAUUAAAGUCCUGCAUAUUGAAGGAAAGCCAUGGAAGCACAGCACAACAUGAACUGCUAGAAGUUCAGCAACACAGCCAUGAACAGAGAUGGAUAAGUCGCAGCGCAGAAGUAGAUGUCCACACAUGGCAACAAGACUUCAUUUCUAAGUUUUGACUCACAUGCUGAAAAAAAUACAUCCAUAUAUUAAAGAACAUGAAAAAUGAAAAGCAAGGGUAAAAAGCUGGCCAGGAAAGAGGAUGUCCUUCAUGUCAUGUCAUCUGUGUUUAACUCCUGGGCAUAUAAAAGAUGUCCCACAAUGCCACAAGCGCAUAGGCUCCACUAUGUUCAUAGCAGCCUUAUUUGUGAUAGCCAAAAGCUGGAAACAAUCAAGAUGUCCCACAAAGGAAGAAUGGAUACAGAAAAUUUGGUUCGUUUACACAAUGGAAUACUAUUCAACUAUUAAGAAUGAGGACAUCAUGAAUUUUGCAGGCAAAUGGAUGGAACUAGAAAGUAUCGUCCCGAAUGAGCUAUCUUAGACCCAAAGGGACAUGUAUGGUAUGUACUCACUAAUAAGUGGAUAUUAGCCAAAAAAAAAAAAAUACACAGAAUACACAGCACACAAUCCACAGAACUCAAGAAGGUUAACAAGGCAAAGGGCCCAAGUGAGGAUGUUCAUAGCAGCCUUAUUUGUGAUAGCCAAAAGCUGGAAACAAUCAAGAUGUCCCACAAAGGAAGAAUCCGACCUGGGAGCAAGAAGAAAGCAGAGCGCAGA